AGGGAUUGGCGGGGACCCGCACAAGCGGUGGAGCAUGUGGUUUAAUUCGAAGCAACGCGAAGAACCUUACCAAAUCUUGACAUCCUUUGACAACUCUAGAGAUAGAGCCUUCCCCUUCGGGGGACAAAGUGACAGGUGGUGCAUGGUUGUCGUCAGCUCGUGUCGUGAGAUGUUGGGUUAAGUCCCGCAACGAGCGCAACCCUUAAGCUUAGUUGCCAUCAUUAAGUUGGGCACUCUAAGUUGACUGCCGGUGACAAACCGGA
rnacentral:rRNA from 1 species